UGACGGUGAAGUAGAACAGAAGGUUUAUUGAACACACAGGCCUUUUAUACAGUUUUCACAGCAAAGGUGACGCCCACGUGGACCUAGUUGGGCACCGAACACAAAACAUACAAGCCAAUAAAAACAGAGGUUUACCUUCAAACACUCCCAUACAUUGUACACAAUCCCUCCCUUCUGCCUGUGAUACAAUUAACAAAGACAAUGGACUAACUCAAUUAACUCUAAGCAGAAAAAAACAAACAUUUUUACAAACCCCAAAAAGUACCCCAAAAUACAACAUAUCCCCACAUCCCCUUAUAGCCCCGCAACAUAUCCAAAAAUUACCCAGAUCGGUUCAGGGGUUCAGGAAUUUCCUGGAAGUCGUAUUUUUGCCCCACCGUGUACAUGGUCCCAUGCCCAAACAGUUCCAUACACUCGACGACAAAACACUGCUGGACAAUUUAAGAUGGCCGCCGCAUGUUUGAAUCUGUUCCAGUUAAAAGUUUAAAGGGGCAGAAACAGUGCCUUAAAACCAAAUAAGUCACAGUGACCAUAAUCCCAAGGUAAAAGGCUGGCCAUGAGUCCUCUCAAAAAAACAGUGGCAAAGUGGCUUUCACCACAGAGCUGACUUACGACAGCUAAAUAAACGUGUCUAUAUGUCUGGUUGGCCAGUGCCAUACAUAGACCAAUGUUUGGUACAAAUGCAGAGAUCCAAAAUAUUCACUGCCAUUGACUGUGCGCAGGUAUAUUGGACUGUACCAGUCCAUGAUGAAGACCAAUACAAAUUGGCCUUCACUUUUGGAAAACAGCAGUAUACCUUGACCCGUAUGCCUUUCAGUUAUCUGUAUAACUUUGCGCAAAAUCAAGUCAAGGAAAAUAAAUUUUUACCUUCUUGGAAAGGGCCAUAUGCCAUAAUUGACAAAAUUUCCCCAUUAGCGUACAAGAUAAAAAUUCCUAAGGAUGGUGAUUUUAUUGAAAAGUGGAUUCACAUUAACCAGUUGCGUACUUGUCAUCCUAAAUCUCAAUGAAGGAUUGUAGGUGUGGAUUCGGAUGCAGAAGAGUGAACGACUAACCUGCAUGUAUGAUUGAAUCCCCUGUUGUAAUGUGCCGUGAUCUUAUGUAUGUUCAGGUCAUUAACCAUUUUCUUGCCAUCCAAUAACUAUAUUUUUGAAGCAGGUUACUAGCUUGUUUAGCUGCUAGAGGUGAAUUACUGAUGAGCCAGUAAUAAAUGUAGUGAGGGAUGAAUUUAUAAAAAUAUAAAUAGACAGAAUGCAUAACGUUGAUGAAUCAUAAAUAAUAUGUUGUCCUAUGCCAAGUGAUGUCACACUGUUAUAAGAUUGUAUGCUUAACAACCCUUGAGUUACAAACCUGGUACCAGAUGCACCUCCAAAGAGUGCAGAAUUGUGUGCAAAACAUCUUGGAGCAAGCCCGGAAACCUUUUGUAUCCAGAACUAUUCCAAUGAGCAACCGACCCAAAAGGUUUCUCACCGCUAUAAUUGUUGCAUUGGUUUGUGCCACUGUCGGUGCAAUUGUCACAACUGGAAUGUCUGCAGCCAACUCUAUUUCUGUCCAAAAACUGGAUAUGGAAAUCACUGCGCUAAAGCAGCACAUUAACAUUCAUCAGGCAAUAAAACAGCAAAGAACAAGGACGUGUUAACUAUUGUGGAAGACACAGUUGUUACAACAAUUUGCAUUCAGAGUUAAUUGCCAAGUCCACUGAAUUGCACCAAAGUCACAACUUAUUAAGAAUCAGGAAUAGCCGAGGUCAAGGGAUACAGAACGAUAACAUAACGAUAAGGAAAAGCCAGGAGUGAGGGAUGCCAGAAAACAGGGAAGUCAAAAACAAUGCCAAAGUCAAAUAACCAGAAUUACCAGAAUCAAUAACGCGCUCUGAGACAACCACAAGGGAAACCACGACAGGACACUGAGCAGGAUGAGAACUGGCCCUAAAUACCCCCUCCUCUAGGUCUGACAGGCUGUAACCGGCCUUUGACCCCAAAGGCAGUUACCAGGUUGCUAUUUGCAUAAUUGCUGCUCAGCAUUAACCCUUCCGUGGAUUUGGUUGUUGCUCGGCACAACUUUUCCUGUGUGGACAGUAAAUGUCAUUAACCACAUUUUUAUAACCGGAUGAAUACGUGACAAUAAUCAUUUAAAUUUUUACUAUUUUGUUCUACUUCCUUUUUAAUUCAACCAUUUUUUUUAAAUUUAAGGGUUUUCAUGUAUCACUUCCUUUUGUUCCUCAUAGUCCAUCCUCAUAGCCUUUAAAAUAUGUAAAAAUAUGAUUCAAAAUUUUACAAAGAAUGUUUUUUUUAAAUAUUUGCUUUUAUAAAUAUAUUUUUUCCAUGUAUGAAUUGCAUGCACUACAAUGUUUAACAUAUAUGUAAUGGUUUUAAUAUGUUUUUGAUAUAGUUUCUUCUAUUAUAGACAUAUACACAAUAUUGCCGCCACCUUGUUUUACAUUUACAGUUGUAUUUCUUUUUAUAUCUUCCAUUCUCUAUAUUUGCCAAUUAAUAUUAUUGUCUGUACAUGGGGUUUUUUAUAUUUGCCCAGCACCAAGAUGUUGGCUGCACUUCUUCCAGAUAUUUUAUGUGAUAUGCCAUUUCCAGGGAGUAAUCGAUUAGAACAUCAUUAAUAUGUACCUUCCAUACUUGCGAUACGUCACUUCGAGAUGACGAUCGCUUCCAUGACUAUAUGCCUUAUUCAGGAAGCAAGGAGCUACAUCAGCUAUAAAUCAAGUUUAAUCACUUUAGGUUCAGACAUCUGGUGUCCCAAACUGCAGUAUAUCCUGAGACGGGGAUUGUAUCCAUGCUGAUAACACUUGAGCUUCCAGCAGCUCUAGAAAGUAUGCGUGUUUUUUUUGGCAUAUUGCACUAUUAUUUGUUUAUAUAUUGUUAUUUUCCAAAUUAUGAUAUUGUGUUUUAUAUAAAGAUCUCUAUCUAAUGGUCUAAUAUACCCAUUUAUAUGCAUAGCCACAUGUAGGUGAUUGCUUUACUUUUCUGUUAUUGUGGUGUUGUUUAUGAAUCUUCUUUGG